GUUUUGUGAUGAACCAAACUUUCACCAUCUUUCGACUGAGCAUAAACGUUGAUGUUUUACAAGUUUUACACUGAUUCAUU